UACGGAGGAUGCAAGCGUUAUCCGGAUUUAUUGGGUUUAAAGGGUGCGUAGGCGGAUAUGUAAGUCAGCGGUGAAACUCACAGGCUCAACCUGUGCCGUGCCGUUGAAACUGUGUAUCUGGAAUGCGGAUGCUGUGGGAGGAAUGUGUAGUGUAGCGGUGAAAUGCAUAGAUAUUACACAGAAUACCGAUUGCGAAGGCAUCUCACAAAGCCGUUAUUGACGCUGAGGCACGAAAGUGUGGGGAUCAAACA
rnacentral:rRNA from 1 species